rnacentral:lncRNA from 1 species
AUCCACCAACUCGUGGACAAACUGUACCACUUCCUCAUGCCAGGGCACGUGGGCCAUGGAUGGCCGUAUAAGAAAAUAAACAACUUGCUAAAACUGCUGAAACUCCCUCUGCUUGUGAGAUUUAAAAAAACUGGCUGAAAUUGGUUGGAACCAACAUGUCCAAUGGAGUCUGAAUAGAAAGAGCUUGCUGACAUCACAGCCCGAAUUUCCACCACAUUUCAUACUAACUCCCCCUGAAUUUGCAUAUGCAAACCACAAGCAAGCAUGAUCAAACAGACAACUGCGCGUGUCCGAGGACUUUCCAGAUCUCCCCUUUCCUUCCACCAAUCACUUACUAAUCUGAGAAUCCAUCCCCUAAUAAAAUCACUGCCUUAAAGCCUGCACAGGAAGACAAAUUUGAGCUGGACUCAGUGUCUCUUUAUUAGUCGACUUGCAAUAAAAAAGCUUUCUUUUCCCCCCUCAAAAACCCUAUGUCAAUUAGUAUUGGCUUCCAGAGCAUCAGGUAGUGAGCCCCUUUUGCUCAGUAACAGAGCUUAAGGUGAAUAAAAAAGGCAAAUAAUGAUAUGGUUCAAGACAUCAUUACGAAAGCAUGGCUGGAAAACUGCUAGCCUUACCAAGUGCAUAAAAAACAUGAAAAUUAUUUAUUGAUAAGCAUUAGUCAUAAAAGUGUACUCUACCUCAAUUUAAAUACUGCUUAUGUGUGGAUUACACAAACAACCAUGUAUGCAGUAGCUACUUCAAAG